rnacentral:lncRNA from 1 species
AGGCCUCAGCCCUGAGGGCGUUGCUUAGCAACCACCCUUCUGGCGCCUUACUUCCGGUCGGGUGCCGGAAGUGAGGCGCCAUUUUGUAGCAAGCGUUUCCGGCGUGCUGAGAGGCGCGUACCUUCCGCCUCCUCGACUUCCGGUCGGGCUGCCGGAAGUGAAGCGCCUCCUUCCGGUGGGGAAGCGUGAGGGAGAAGGCGGCGAGAUGCCGACGGGGGAUUACGACUCCAAGCCCAGCUGGGCGGAUCAGGUGGAAGAGGAGGGAGGAGAAGAUGGUGAGUGCACCCAGGGGGUCCCAGCACCUUCUACUCCCAUUUCUGUGCCCAUAGAUCUCUUGUAUUCCUAUUUCUCUCCCACAUCUCCCCACUUCUCUGCCCAGAGCUUCUUUUGCCCCCGUUUGUUUCCCCAGAUCUCCGUUUUGUCUUUGUUUCUCUGCCCAGAGAUUCUUUUUCAUACCAGUUUCUCUGCCCACAUUUCCCUUUUGAUUCCCAUUUCUCAGCCCAGCGCUCUUAUCUGCCCUUAUUUCUCUCCCCACAUCACCCAUCUGUCCUUAUUUUUCUUCCCAGAUCCCCCUUUUGGUCCCUAUUUCUCUCUCUAUGUCUCCCAUCUAUGCCUAUUCCCCCCCCAAAUCUUCUGCUUGUCCCCAUUUCUCAGCCCAUAAGUUCUCUUCUGUCCCUAUUUCUCACUCCAGAUCUCUCAUUUGUCCCUAUUUCUCUCCCCAGAUCCCCCAUCCCCCCCAAUUUCCCCUUCUGUCCCUAUUCCCAUCCCAAAUCUCCCUUCUGAUCCCCAUUUCUCAGCCAGCGCUCCCAUCUGCUCCUAUUCCUCUCCCCACAUCUCCCUUCUGUCCCCAUUUCUCUGCCUAGAUUUCCCUUUUGAUCCCCAUUUCUCAGCCCAGUGUUCCUGUCUGCUCUUAUUUCUCCCCCCACAUCACCUUUCUCUCCGUAUUUCUUCCCCCAGUGCUCCCUUUUGUCCCUGUUUCUCCCCCCACUGCUCUCUUUUGGUUCUCUUUCUCUUCCCAGUUCUCCCUUUUCAGCCCUUUACUCUGCCUGUUUUUCCUCUCUGUCCCUAUUUCUCUGCCCAGAGAUCUCAUUUCUCCCCAUUUCUCUCCCCACGCCUCCUUUCUCUCCCCAUUUCUCUGCUCAGAUCUCUCAUCUGUCCCUAUUCCCACCCCCAGAUCCCUUUUGAUCCCCAUUUCUCAGCUCAUAUCUCCCGUUUGUCCCUAUUUCUCUCCCCACAUCUCACUUUGGAUCCCCGUUUCUCAGCCCAGCGCUCCCACCUGUUCCUAUUUCUCUCCCCACAUCCCCCAUCUGUCCCCGUUUUCCUCCUCAUAUCUCACUUUUGAACCCCAUUAUCUCUCCCCACACCCCCCACCCGUUUCCCCCCU